UGCCCAAGAGAUCGGGAUAACAUCUGGAAACAGAUGCUAAUACCGGAUAACAACAGAUGAUGCCUAUCAACUGUUUAAAAGAUGGUUCUGCUAUCACUCUUGGAUGGACCUGCGGUGCAUUAGCUAGUUGGUAGGGUAACGGCCUACCAAGGCGAUGAUGCAUAGCCGAGUUGAGAGACUGAUCGGCCACAUUGGGACUGAGAUACGGCCCAGACUCCUACGGGAGGCAGCAGCC
rnacentral:rRNA from 1 species